UCAUGGCUCAGGAUGAACGCUGGCGGCGUGCCUAAUACAUGCAAGUCGAACGAGAGUGCUUGCACUCUAGUGGCGAACGGGUGAGUAACACGUAGGUAACCUGCCUUACAGUUUGGGAUACCCUGGCGAAAGCUAGGCUAAUACCGAAUAAUUGGAUUGGAGGCAUCUCCGAUCUCUAAAAGGGGCCUUUAAAGCCUCGCUGAAUGAUGGACCUGCGGCGCAUUAGCUAGUGGUGAGAUAACAGCCCACCAAGGCGAGGAUGCGUAGCCGACCUGAGAGGGUGAACGGCCACACUGGAACUGAGACACGGUCCAGACUCCUACGGGAGGCAGCAGUAGGGAGUUUUCGGCAAUGGGGGCAACCCUGACCGAGCAACGCCGCGUGAAUGAUGAAGGUCUUCGGAUUGUAAAGUUCUGUUAUAAGGGAAAAAUGAUAUGGUGAGGAAAUGCUCCAUAUUUGAUGGUACCUUAUUAGAAAGCCACGGCUAACUACGUGCCAGCAGCGGC
rnacentral:rRNA from 1 species